AUGUCUUCGCCACCUCCAAUUCCGCCGCCGCCGCCACCACCGCCGCUGCCCAUCAACUCCACCACCGCCGCUGCCGCCAACUCCUCCACCACUGCCGCUUCCGCGCCGGGCGUCACGGCCUCGCUCUCGGCGGGCACUACGGCGUCGCUCUCGGCGCCGACCCUCCCGGCGCCCGACACCGCGCCAGGCCACGGGCGGCCACCGACCCCCGUCCAACAUACGCCGCCGCCGUCACCUCCCCCGCAGCCGCAGCAGUUCACACAGGAGGCAAUGAUCGGCGUCCUCAACGACCUAGUCGCCGCGGUCCAGGGCAUCCGCCUCUACCUGGCAAGUCCGUACGGGCCGCCUCCACCACUACAUCCCGCCAUGGCCGCGGGUCCGCAGGCGCUGCCGUGGUACUCGGUACCGGGGGCCAUCACCGGAGGCUACCCGGCGCUCCCCGCCCCGGCGGCCGCACCGCCGCCGUGGCCACAGUGGCCGCCGCCACCCGCGACGGCAACUGUGCCACUCGCCGCCACCACAGGGCCGCAGUGGCCCACCUGGACCGCGCCAUCCGCACCGUCUCCCGUCGCGCCGUCACUUCCAGCAGCCACGGAGCAGGGUCCUCCACCGCCCCAUCCCAGCCCUAACUUGGGCCGGUCGUCGCCGAGCGGGCUUCCGAUCCAGGAGGUCUGCUUUCCGUCAUCGUCAUCACCACUCCCCGACUGGCUUCACGGGCCGCCAUCGGCCUACCCGGGGGCCCGUCCGCCGUCCGGUUUCCCGUUGCAGCCCGAGGCGUCAGGCGCCACCGGGAACUACGCCGGGCCUUCCACCAUGGACCGCGCACCAUCAUCCGCCCUACGCACCGCCGAGGCAGUGGGCCAGGGCGCGCCACACCAGCAGCCGCCCCGGUUCGCCAAGAUCGACUUCGCCACAUACGACGGCUCCGACGACCCGCUUAACUGGCUCAACCAGUGUGACCAGUUCUUCCGCGGACAACGCACACCCGCGUCGGAGCGUACUUGGCUGGCUUCCUACCAUCUCCGCGGGGCCGCCCAGACAUGGUACUACGCCCUCGAGUAG
rnacentral:rRNA from 1 species